GAUGAACGCUGGCGGCGUGCCUAAUACAUGCAAGUCGAGCGAACAGAUAAGGAGCUUGCUCCUUUGACGUUAGCGGCGGACGGGUGAGUAACACGUGGGUAACCUACCUAUAAGACCGGGAUAACUUCGGGAAACCGGAGCUAAUACCGGAUAACAUUUGGAACCGCAUGGUUCUAAAGUGAAAGAUGGUUUUGCUAUCACUUAUAGAUGGACCCGCGCCGUAUUAGCUAGUUGGUAAGGUAACGGCUUACCAAGGCGACGAUACGUAGCCGACCUGAGAGGGUGAUCGGCCACACUGGAACUGAGACACGGUCCAGACUCCUACGGGAGGCAGCAGUAGGGAAUCUUCCGCAAUGGGCGAAAGCCUGACGGAGCAACGCCGCGUGAGUGAUGAAGGGUUUCGGCUCGUAAAACUCUGUUAUUAGGGAAGAACAAAUGUGUAAGUAACUGUGCACGUCUUGACGGUACCUAAUCAGAAAGCCACGGCUAACUACGUG
rnacentral:rRNA from 1 species